AUCAUCCCGUACUACACUUACAUUCAUUAAGGAAUAAACAAACAAAUAAAGAAGCAUUGCAAACACGGAUAAAUUCCAUUUGCGAGAACCCUAUAUCGGAUAAGCUACGCUCUCACCCAUAAUAACCCGAACGCCCCUUCCGCUACAGGCCAUCCUGUUCCAGCUGCCUCCGUAUUUACUUAAGGGUGUGUUCGAGAUUUAGUCCGUUUGAGUGAUGAUGUAAUGGUGCUCAAACAAAAAUCCCACAGCAAACCCUAUAGCUGAGCGAGUGAGGGGGGGGGAGGGGGAAAAAAUUAAAUACAGAAAACUGUAUUUUUUUUCUAAUGAAAGGACGGUAGACUCUAGCUCGGGAUUCGACCUGACGAGUCCGUUAGCCACGAGUGGACGCGUUUUCAUUGGGCGCAUAAGACAACUGCUGAGAGCGUGUUGGGAAUAAACGCACGGCGUAUGAAAAGAAUUCGGCGGACACCUCGUGCCUACUCGAAUCAGCCCCUACUGCAGAGCAGGCUCGGUCAUAACACGCUCUUCCUUAAGUUCCUAUGAUGAUGAGUCUUUAUUGGUCACGUAUAUAUAUGCACAGUGAGAUUCUUUUCUUCGCAUACCCCUGCAUGUUAGGAAGUUGGGGUCAGAGUGCAGGGUCAGCCAUGAUACAGCACCCCCUGGAGGAGAGAGGGUUAAGCGCCUUGCUCACGGGCCUCAACAGUGGCAGCUUGUUAGUGCUAGGGCUUCCGAUCACUAACCCGGCGCCUUAACCGUCAAGCCCCCACUGCCCCUGAAUGAUCACGACACGUCUCCGCUUCGAGAGUAAUACAGAGUCGGCGUUUAUCAGCUUAAUCAAUAAUAAUGAGUCGUCACCACUGUAUCUUGUUGCCCGUGUGUGUUUUACAGAGCACUCGCACUGCAGCGACGUGACGCGUCGAACCGGCCUCGGGUUCGCCAGCACGGAUGAAAAUCCUGCCCCGGGGGUUUGCGGGAGUGAGGGCGGUGUGAAGCGACGUGAAGAAGAGCGGAAAAAAAGGAAGAAGGUUAGGAAUCGACCUCGUGCUCAUGCAGACGAGAAGCAAAUACCACCAGACUGUGGCCGAUGAGAGGGUAUUUAUGUGCCGGGGUUCUAAUUGGAGCGAGACACGCGCGCGCUCACUGCCAAGGAAUCAGACUGAAGUGGCAAAACAUGAUGAGAGCACCACGACACGUGAUAGAGACUUUUUAUACGAGCCCUAAGCCACCCAAUCCCUACCUCCCAGUACCACUUCAAUCAGAUCAGCUAAAUGCGCUUGUUUUAUUAGCAACCCGUUCCAACGCGGCCAAAAUGCCGAUGAAGGAGAUGUUCCACUUCGCGUGAACGUGGCAUUCGUCAGCUCAGGCUAACAGCCUCGAAGGCGUAUAGUAGUACUAACUUAAUCUCUCGCUCUCUUUUUCUUUUUGUUUUAUCUACUUGAGCACAUCCGAUAGAAGCGGUCUUAUAGAAACCUUAAGAGUAAUAAUAACGUAUCUCAGUACGUCGGUCAUGAUGGGCUGUGUGUGUGUGUGUCUCCUUCGCGGUCCUCAAUUCACCCAUGACAAAAUAUCGCCUCCUGUGAAUAUCGAGCUACAAAUGGUUCCGCUCGUAUAUAGAGGGUAUGCACUGACGCUAAGAAAACGACGAUCGGCUUAAAUUAAAGGCAGCCGAACUCGACAGUGACCCUUACAACUUGCCCAAGAACCCGUGCUCCACGGACGUUGGCACGUGGCCAGAAAUCGGGUUUCCCGAUGUACCUGAAGCUCGAAUGCGCAUAAAAGCCUUUUGGCGCUUGGUCCUACUUCGAGGUGGGAUUUCUCGGAGAAACGCACCGCCGACGAACAUCCUGGUUGGAUGUACAAAUAUCUGUAUUUUAUUCCAUGGUUUUUCUUUGAUCGUAGAAUUUUCAUUGAAAGUUUACAUUUUACAUGACACCCCAACAAACAACCACGGCCAAAACCAAAAGAAAGGGGGAAACAAACAAACAAACAAAAAACAAUAAACAAACAACCAGAGAAAAAAACAAACAAAAACAUAAAACCCCAAAACAACAACAACAACAAAAAGGGGUAAGAUGAUCAGGAAUUACAGUCCGCUUUUCCUCGAUCCACCACCAGGGUGCGCACAUCAUUGAAGUAGGUAAUAAAUUGCGCCCAUUUUCCCCAGAAUGAGUCACCCCUGCCUCUGAUGCUGUACUUGAUUUUCUCAGGUUUUAAAAAGAAGAUUAAAUCUUUAAUCCAGACUGAUAUAGAGGGGGGUUGUGGAGAGCUCCAAGACGACAGUAUUCUGCGCCGAGCAAGUGACGACGCAAAGGCCGCAACACUGGCUUCUUUAUGGUUCAGAGGUCAGACCCGGUCGGAGAAUGAACGCGCCCCCGGUUAUUCGUCGAUGGAAACGGGCAGCGUUUAAAAAGAAGUAUGUGGCAAAUUAUUCAUCGUUGUACGACAUGGAUACCGCGCGCCAAAAGAACUCGC
ensembl:lncRNA